rnacentral:rRNA from 1 species
GACGAACGCUGGCGGUGUGCCUAAUACAUGCAAGUCGAACGCAGUGGGGACGGGUGAGUAACACGUGGGUAACCUCCCAUCAGAGGGGAUAACACUUGGAAACAGGUGCUAAACCGAUACUGAUGGAUGGACCCGCGGUGCAUUAGCUAGUUGGUGAGGUAACGGCUCACCAAGGCCACGAUGCAUAGCCGACCUGAGAGGGUGAUAGGCCACACUGGGACUGAGACACGGCCCAGACUCCUACGGGAGGCAGCAGUAGGGAAUCUUGCGCAAUGGGCGAAAGCCUGACGCAGCCAUGCCGCGUGAAUGAUGAAGGUCUUAGGAUUGUAAAAUUCUUUCACCGGGGACGCGGUACCCGGAGAAGAAGCCCCGGCUAACUUCGUGCCAGCAGCCGCGGUAAUAC